rnacentral:rRNA from 1 species
GCGGCGUGCCUAAUACAUGCAAGUCGUACGCUAGCCGCUGAAUUGAUCCUUCGGGUGAAGUGAGGCAAUGACUAGAGUGGCGAACUGGUGAGUAACACGUAAGAAACCUGCCCUUUAGUGGGGGAUAACAUUUGGAAACAGAUGCUAAUACCGCGUAACAACAAAUCACACAUGUGAUCUGUUUGAAAGGUCCUUUUGGAUCGCUAGAGGAUGGUCUUGCGGCGUAUUAGCUUGUUGGUAGGGUAGAAGCCUACCAAGGCAAUGAUGCGUAGCCGAGUUGAGAGACUGGCCGGCCACAUUGGGACUGAGACACUGCCCAAACUCCUACGGGAGGCUGCAGUAGGGAAUUUUCCGCAAUGCACGAAAGUGUGACGGAGCGACGCCGCGUGUGUGAUGAAGGCUUUCGGGUCGUAAAGCACUGUUGUAAGGGAAGAAUAACUGAAUUCAGAGAAAGUUUUCAGCUUGACGGUACCUUACCAGAAAGGGAUGGCUAAAUACGUGCCAGCAGCCGCGGUAAUACGUAUGUCCCGAGCGUUAUCCGGAUUUAUUGGGCGUAAAGCGAGCGCAGACGGUUUAUUAAGUCUGAUGUGAAAUCCCGAGGCCCAACCUCGGAA